UGGGGAAUCUUGCACAAUGGGGGAAACCCUGAUGCAGCGACGCCGCGUGAACGAUGAAGCCCUUCGGGGUGUAAAGUUCUUUCGACAGGAACGAUAAUGACGGUACCUGGAGAAGAAGCUGCGGCUAACUACGUGCCAGCAGCCGCGGUAAUACGUAGGCAGCGAGCGUUGUUCGGAGUUACUGGGCGUAAAGAGUGCGUAGGCGGCGAGCCAAGUUUGGUGUGAAAUCUCCCGGCUUAACCGGGAGGGUGCGCCGAAAACUGGUUGGCUGGAGUAUGGGAGAGGAAAGCGGAAUUCCUGGUGUAGCGGUGAAAUGGGUAGAUAUCAGGAGGAACACCUGCGGUGUAGACAGCUUUCUGGACCAAAACUGACGCUGAGGCACGAAAGCGUGGGUAGCAAACA
rnacentral:rRNA from 1 species